UACGUAGGGGGCUAGCGUUGUCCGGAAUCAUUGGGCGUAAAGAGCUCGUAGGCGGCUUGUCGCGUCGGUUGUGAAAGCCCGGGGGCUUAACCCCGGGUCUGCAGUCGAUACGGGCAGGCUAGAGUUCGGUAGGGGAGACUGGAAUUCCUGGUGUAGCGGUGAAAUGCGCAGAUAUCAGGAGGAACACCGGUGGCGAAGGCGGGGUCUCUGGGCCGAUACUGACGCUGAGGAGCGAAAGCGUGGGGAGCGAACAGG
rnacentral:rRNA from 1 species